rnacentral:snRNA from 1 species
CUCCGUCCCGAGGCCUUUCGGCUAAGAUCAAGUGUAGUAUCUGUUCUUAUCAGUUUAAUGUCUGGUAUGUGGGCCAUGUGCCUACUUCGAUAUUAAAUUUAUUUUUUGUAGUGUAGGGUCCACUACAGUGGCUUGCUACUGGGGCCCUCAACCGUCGCAUAGGCAUUGCGCUGCUGCCUGGGCCUGGCGCACCCCAA